UUCUUUGUAUUGUUCCCCAAUGCAAAGCAGGCUAAAACCCAGUGAGGACCCAGCAACAUGAGGAUUUCCCUUGUGUAAGGAGACACUUUGAGUGACAGGCCCUUUUGUGGCUCCUGCACCACUACCCUACCCAGCUGCCAGUGUACGGGACAUGGCUAGGAGACAUCGCCACUUGACAACUAGGAGGCUUGAAGACACUUUUGUACCUUCCCCACCUCAGCAGGGUUGGACAUAGCUUAGGAUCAAACCUUUGACUCAGAGUGAGAAAUCAGCAGCUGAGAUCUGUGUUACACCACAGAAUGAUGUUCAGCUACAGAAGAUGACUUUUUUUAUGGAUCCAUGUCAGCCAAACAGCUGAAGGAGAUAAACCAGUAGCUGUGCCACUAAUUGGAGUAAAAGACCUCUCUUUCAGCAAGAGAUUGGAGCUGAACAAUAUAGUUUCAGUGAAAAGAUGUAGGUGCAUUUAUAAAGCACUUCUGGGAAAAUAACUGAAGACGAAGGAGAAAAAUGCUACAGAAGACUGUGUUCAAUCAGAAUAAAUAUAUCCAAGAUAA